rnacentral:rRNA from 1 species
GAUGAACGCUGGCGGCGUGCUUAACACAUGCAAGUCGAACGGUGAAGCAGGAGCUUGCUCUUGUGGAUCAGUGGCGAACGGGUGAGUAACACGCGAGCAACCUGCCCCUGACUCUGGGAUAAGCGCUGGAAACGGCGUCUAAUACUGGAUAUGUGAUGUGACCGCAUGGUCUGCAUCUGGAAAGAAUUUCGGUUGGGGAUGGGCUCGCGGCCUAUCAGCUUGUUGGUGAGGUAAUGGCUCACCAAGGCGUCGACGGUUAGCCGGCCUGAGAGGGUGACCGGCCACACUGGGACUGGGACACGGCCCAGACUCCUACGGGAGGCAACAGUGGGGAAUAUUGCACAAUGGGCGGAAGCCUGAUGCGGCAACGCCGCGUGAGGGAUGACGGCCUUCGGGUUGUAAACCUCUUUUAGCAGGGAAGAAGCGAAAGUGACGGUACCUGCAGAAAAAGCACCGGCUAACUACGUGCCAGCCGCCGCAGUAA